UACGUAGGUGGCAAGCGUUGUCCGGAAUUAUUGGGCGUAAAGCGCGCGCAGGCGGUCCCUUAAGUCUGAUGUGAAAGCCCACGGCUCAACCGUGGAGGGUCAUUGGAAACUGGGGGACUUGAGUACAGAAGAGGAAAGCGGAAUUCCACGUGUAGCGGUGAAAUGCGUAGAGAUGUGGAGGAACACCAGUGGCGAAGGCGGCUUUCUGGUCUGUAACUGACGCUGAGGCGCGAAAACGUGGGGAGCAAACAGG
rnacentral:rRNA from 1 species